rnacentral:lncRNA from 1 species
CCUACGACUUCACAUCCUUAUAAAAAAGGUAUGAUAUAAAAAAGGUAUGAAGGGUGUUGGGGUAGAUCCUCGUUACUUAUCCGAUCAUCCCGCUUCUUCACCUAUCGAUCGACCAUUGAAACUUCACCGAUCUGACUACUAUGGUUCGACUCGACUCCGACCAAUAGGCCUCGCCCCAACCAGCCUUCCACCGACUGAGGUCGAUGGUAUGUGGACGAUUAAGAAUGAUGAACUUAGCCGAGUCGGCUCUUUGCAGACUUAGUUCGACAUGUGGCCCACAAGUUGGAUGAUGGUA